AGACCGGAGAGGAGCUGCGUCUCUGCCCCGUGGGAGCCGGCGGGGCGGCGGGGCGGCGGCUGCAGCUGCAGCUCCGGCGCGAGGGCUCCCUUGCCGGGCCCUCUUCCCCGACCCCUGGGGCGCUCCGACAAGGAAGAGCCGUCCAGCGCGCGUCCGUCCUGAGCGUGGAGGAGUUGGUGAACAGCAGGAUGGAUGGGAUGUCAGUCAGCUGUGCCCCUGGCUACCCCUGUGCUUGAACAGUGGACUGUGAGUGGCGGCGUCAUGCAGAAGGAGCACAGGGUCCCAGGCCAGCAUCACUAUCCAGGAGCUUCAGGCAUGCUCCGUGUACCAACAUGGGAUCACGAAUCACAUCGCCUCAGGCCAAGAAAGCCAUUUUAUAGCGAAAGAGCCUUAGGAUCUGCUGGAUUAGAGCCUGUUUCCCAGGUAGGAACGCUUCCACGAGGGCACUCCUGCUGGUUGCAGGAAGGAUACCUCUGCUGAGCCUGAAUCUGCAAAGACCACCAGGUUACUCUCAGCUCCUCAUACUGGUGGACCAGCAGGCCACAAAGGAGGGGAUACUUGAUCCUGAUAAACGGUGAGGAGGUAGCGUGGCUGCUGCGUAACGGGGCAAGCAGGCAUUGAUCUGGCACUUAGAGGAUUCAUCUAGGUCUGUCUUGGUGCUUCCAUGCCAAGUAAUGACAAUGAAAAGGUCUUUUCAGCAGCCAUAGCCCCUAAGGGCUCAGAUGCCUCAGGGUGAAGGUCUGGGCAGCGUCACCAGGC
rnacentral:lncRNA from 1 species